UGGUUCGAAAUUGAAAGGCGGCUUCGGCUGUCACUUAUGGAUGGACCCGCGUCGCAUUAGCUAGUUGGUGAGGUAACGGCUCACCAAGGCAACGAUGCGUAGCCGACCUGAGAGGGUGAUCGGCCACACUGGGACUGAGACACGGCCCAGACUCCUACGGGAGGCAGCAGUAGGGAAUCUUCCGCAAUGGACGAAAGUCUGACGGAGCAACGCCGCGUGAGUGAUGAAGGCUUUCGGGUCGUAAAACUCUGUUGUUAGGGAAGAACAAGUGCUAGUUGAAUAAGCUGGCACCUUGACGGUACCUAACCAGAAAGCCACGGCUAACUACGUGCCAGCAGCCGCGGUAAUACGUAGGUGGCAAGCGUUAUCCGGAAUUAUUGGGCGUAAAGCGCGCGCAGGUGGUUUCUUAAGUCUGAUGUGAAAGCCCACGGCUCAACCGUGGAGGGUCAUUGGAAACUGGGAGACUUGAGUGCAGAAGAGGAAAGUGGAAUUCCAUGUGUAGCGGUGAAAUGCGUAGAGAUAUGGAGGAACACCAGUGGCGAAGGCGACUUUCUGGUCUGUAACUGACACUGAGGCGCGA
rnacentral:rRNA from 1 species